rnacentral:lncRNA from 1 species
GGUAUCUUCUCACAACACAAAAUACUUAUUUACUUCUCCCCAUAUUAACUUUCUAUUUCCUUUUAGGAACACCAACAGUCCAUAACUUCCAUCAUAAGCCAGUAUCUAAAUGCUGUGGCUUUCAAUUUAUAAGGAAUAAGGAUUAUCUUUUACUCAAUUCAAGUGAAUAAAGACAUAAGGAGUUUUGAACCUGAGGAAGUACCUCACAAAAGCCUCCAAAACUGAAUUUGAGUCAGAAAUGUACGACAAUAACAGGGAAAACAUUAAUGAGGGCAGCCUGAAGAGCCCUGCCUGUGUCCAGAAUGCUGAGAUCACCAGGUGAUACUACUCCACCUGCUCUGCCAUUCUGCUUCUCCAGGUGGCCUUGAGGAAGCUUUUAGCAGGAAAACAUGACACAUACAAGGAUAUAAGGUUAUGGUCAGGCGACACCUAAUACAACUUCUGCAUGCAGAUGUUUUUGUCUUUGCCCCUGGGAGCUGCUCACCUGCUUCCAGUGGGAGAGGGUGUGACACCUGAGAGAGCAGGUUCAGGAUCGAGCCCUCUGUUCAUUUCCUGGAUAUGCCUGCUCAUGUCCUCCCACGCCACUGUCUUCUGUGUACACAAGAACCCAAGGCAGCACUUCUUCCCCUCUCCUGCCGCCUCCUUCACAGGCCCCAUUUCAGGCAUAAUACAAAGGAACAGGGCUUCCUGCUUGAAGGUGCUGAUCCAGGGAUCAACAGGACUGAUGACGUUGCUCUCCUCAAGGAGCUGACACUGCAGCGUGAGGGGACAAAUUCAGAGGACAAAUUCCGAUCAGUGUUCCCUCUUCCAGCACACAUUCACUGAGGUCCUAUUGCAUGCUCCAGACAUGGAAGCACGGCAGGGAGUGAAGCAGGCAGAGGUCUCCAUUCUUAUGGGAUGAUAGUCUAGCGGGGGAGACAGAGAAAACAAAAGUAAAACAUAAACAAAGCUAAUUAACCUGAACCCAGGUCAUCAAUCUGUUGAAUUCAGCAAAUUGUAUUCCAGUGAUUCAAUAUGGAAACAGAGGCCUAGCUAAGUGGUGGCUCAUUCUUGGAGACCCAGCUCAGAUGUCACCUUAUGAGGCCCUGCUGGAUCCUUACCACUCCCCCAGACGCUUUUGC